CCAGACUCCUACGGGAGGCAGCAGUGAGGAAUAUUGGUCAAUGGGCGAGAGCCUGAACCAGCCAAGUAGCGUGCAGGAUGACGGCCCUAUGGGUUGUAAACUGCUUUUAUGCGGGGAUAAAGUGAGGGACGUGUCCUUCAUUGCAGGUACCGCAUGAAUAAGGACCGGCUAAUUCCGUGCCAGCAGCCGCGGUAAUACGGAAGGUCCGGGCGUUAUCCGGAUUUAUUGGGUUUAAAGGGAGCGUAGGCCGUGGAUUAAGCGUGUUGUGAAAUGCAGGUGCUCAACGUCUGCACUGCAGCGCGAACUGGUCCACUUGAGUGUGCGCAACGCAGGCGGAAUUCGUCGUGUAGCGGUGAAAUGCUUAGAUAUGACGAAGAACUCCGAUUGCGAAGGCAGCUUGCGGGAGCACAACUGACGCUGAAGCUCGAAAGUGCGGGUAUCGAACAGGAUUAGAUACCCUGGUAGUCCGCACGGUAAACGAUGGAUGCCCGUUGUCAGGCUGUUUCAGCCUGGUGACCAAGCGAAAGCAUUAAGCAUCCCACCUGGGGAGUACGCCGGCAACGGUGAAACUCAAAGGAAUUGACGGGGGCCCGCACAAG
rnacentral:rRNA from 1 species